GACGAACGCUGGCGGCGUGCUUAACACAUGCAAGUCGAACGGAAAGGCCCUGCUUUUGUGGGGUACUCGAGUGGCGAACGGGUGAGUAACACGUGAGUAACCUGCCCUUGACUUUGGGAUAACUUCAGGAAACUGGGGCUAAUACCGGAUAGGAGCUCCUGCUGCAUGGUGGGGGUUGGAAAGUUUCGGCGGUUGGGGAUGGACUCGCGGCUUAUCAGCUUGUUGGUGGGGUAGUGGCUUACCAAGGCUUGGACGGGUAGCCGGCCUGAGAGGGUGACCGGCCACAUUGGGACUGAGAUACGGCCCAGACUCCUACGGGAGGCAGCAGUGGGGAAUAUUGCACAAUGGGCGGAAGCCUGAUGCAGCAACGCCGCGUGCGGGAUGACGGCCUUCGGUUUGUAAACUGCUUUCGCCUGUGACGAAGCGUGAGUGACGGUAAUGGGUAAAGAAGCACCGGCUAACUACGUG
rnacentral:rRNA from 1 species